UAGGGAAUCUUCGGCAAUGGACGAAAGUCUGACCGAGCAACGCCGCGUGAGUGAAGAAGGUUUUCGGAUCGUAAAACUCUGUUGUUAGAGAAGAACAAGGACGUUAGUAACUGAACGUCCCCUGACGGUAUCUAACCAGAAAGCCACGGCUAACUACGUGCCAGCAGCCGCGGUAAUACGUAGGUGGCAAGCGUUGUCCGGAUUUAUUGGGCGUAAAGCGAGCGUAGGCGGUUUCUUAAGUCUGAUGUGAAAGCCCCCGGCUCAACCGGGGAGGGUCAUUGGAAACUGGGAGGCUUGAGUGCAGAAGAGGAGAGUGGAAUUCCAUGUGUAGCGGUGAAAUGCGUAGAUAUAUGGAGGAACACCAGUGGCGAAGGCGGCUCUCUGGUCUGUAACUGACGCUGAGGCUCGAAAGCGUGGGGAGCAAACAGG
rnacentral:rRNA from 1 species